rnacentral:tRNA from 1 species
ACUAGGUUGGCAGAUUUUUAUGCAUUAAAUUUAGAAUUUAAUAAAAUGACUUUAGUCAUAUUUAGUA